GCUCUGUUUUUCUAUGGCUUUGCCGCUAUAUUGGGGGUGCCGGUUCGCCGGCUAUGGAAAUAAAUGACCGUCGCAAUAAACCAUUCGGACCCGGGGGCGGUACCCGGCGCCUCCACCAAAACCCAUCUCGAACCCAUCCUCGGGUGGCUUUUGGCGGGGGCGAAAUAGGAUCGACGAGGGCGUAAAGGGCGCGUUUUUUCUCGGUAUGGUUCCGCCGACAUCGGGCCAUUGCAAUAGUUGCCAACGACAACUUUGCUCCGGUUGCUCAGGCUGCGUAACGCAGUUUGAAAGACCAUCUUAAAGUCCUAGCGGGUUAAGCUCCGCUAGGCGGGGUCCGGAGGCACCUGGCAACAGAAGCCUCCACU
rnacentral:tmRNA from 3 species